GACCACGUAGCUCAGAUGGCAGAGCAUUGGGCUAGUAUUCCAAAGGUCGUAGGUUCGAUUCCCACCGUGGCCG
rnacentral:tRNA from 1 species